rnacentral:lncRNA from 1 species
CAAUUUACACCAGCAACCUAGCAUGCCUCUAAACCAGGUUCCAACAACAAUUAACAUAUUCAUAAACAUAACAACCGAGACCCUAGAUCAUCCUCCUCUCCUCGCCAUGAUUCCACGGAUCACAAUUUACCUGCACCACAAACGCAAUGAGAUGCGUGAGUAUUAUCACAAAUACUCAGUUUUGAGAGCGAUCCUCCCAUCUACGAGCUAUACACACAAGCUAUGAGAUAACACCCACAUAUAUAACAUAAACAAACCAUUCAUCAAGCUAAACAUCCAAUAACACUUACAAUUCACCUACAAAUCAUCACAAACAAGUCACUCAAUCCCAAUCGCUUAGAGAAGCUCAUGGUCACGCACUCACCUUAACAAGGUGAUUUAAAUAACAAAAACAACCAGAAAAGACUCUCCUCGCGACUGCAACAGCCAAACAACGCCCUACAACAAACCACACAAACAAAAAUCUCUAAGAACCAAAAGGACAGAAACAGCAGUAAAACUACAGCCGCAGAAACGAAGCCCUAAAACAUAAACCAACCGUUAACUUCUUAAUCCCUACGGUGAAAAGCAAGAUCCAGACGUCACGAAGCUCCCCACAACCUUUGGUACCGAUCGGAGAAGCGACGAAACUAUGAUUGCACUUAUAAACUCCGCUGAUCCCAGUUCGCAACAGAGAAAACACGUCUCACCAAACUGCAUAUAACUCACUGAGUAUUAAUCCGAAUUCACUUCUGUAAAAAGGAGAAUCAAUGUACACGCCUUAAGAACAAACCUACCAAAGCAAAGCUAACCCUCUCCUUCUACCAGGACGUGAUGAAUCUGCUUCUCUUGCCUUAAACACCAAAGCAAAGCUAACCCUCUCCUUCUCACAAGUGAACUUCUCCUUCUCUUUUUCUCAACUCAACUCUCAGGAAUAACAGCGACAAAACAAAAGAGAGAAUGAAGCGUUCUUUAUAAAAUUUAGGGUUUUUGGUUUAAUCUGAUUAAACCAUGAUUUACUUAAACCGACAUUAAUUAAACCUCAUUUGAUUGAAUUGACAAAUCGACGAGGUUAGGAAAUCAACCGGAAUUAAACCGACUCCACCCUAAUUCUUAUACACAAUCAAGUCUCAUAUUAUUUUCCAGAACACAUGAGUUACAAUUCUCCCCCAUUAACAUGGAUUCGUCCUCGAAUCCUUCAACAUCGUCCAUCAGUCGGACUCCGUGCAACCGUCCCAAACGAUCCGCACUCCCACAACUGACUCCUCUGAGGCUCCUAUAUAAUCCAUAUACUCACGUUCCAGACCCUAUUUGCUCAUAUUCACCCACUUCCCCCGUCCACAGGUCGCAACCCAUGAAUCAGAUCGGCUCGUCCUCAGGCCUCUUCCUUAGAUUACGGUAUCCAGGAAGUCUCACCACUCCCCCCGCUCUCAGGUUAAAACCAUCAAGUCAUACCGGCUUACUAUUAGGCCUCCAGCCUUCAAGCUACGGUAUCCGGGAAGUCUCACUACUCCCCCCGCUCAAAGGUCGCAACCUUCAAGUCAUACCGGCUCACUAUUAGGCCUCCAGCCUUCAAGCUACGGUAUCCGAGAAGUAUCACACUCGCUCUUGGGUCGUCACCCUUAAGCGUGCUCUCGAAUCGUCAUCCGAGACUAUCACAUAACAUCCGAGCAAAUAAGUCUAAACGCCCCCGAGCAUAUAUCUAGAUCAGAUAUACCUCCCGUGGUUCUCCUACAGCAUCGCAAUGCUAUACUAACCACAAUCCUGGAACUUUCCAAAACUAGAACCAUCAAACCCGACGCUUUCUAUUUUUAGAAACUCACACAUAUUUCUCUUUCACAUGACACCAACAAGUCAAAUCUAAGAAAUACUCAUCUUAUUAAACUCAAUGUCAUAAUCAUUAUACCAAAAUGAAAAAUUCAAAAGAGCUACAACCAAACUCGACUCAAAACAAAAGAAACAAGACCAACGGUCUACUCCUCGACCUGCUUGUCAAGCCACUUUUGGAACCUUGCCUUCAACUUGGCUACUGACUAGGAAUCAUCCCGUGACUCCUCAACUCAUCUUCAAUACCCGCUGCCACCUCAACCAACUCAACACGCGACGCAUAGGCUCGCACCUUACACCGCACCCUCAUGUCGUGGUUGAGACCCUUCAUGAAACAACGCACCUGCAUCUGCUCAGGAUCUCCCGCACGACCCGAGUACACCAAGAGUCGGCUAAACUCUGAGUCGUACUCCCGCACCGACCGCUCACCUUGAGUCAAUGCCAGAAACUGCGACUCCAUCCGGUCCAGUGCCUCCACCGGGAAAUACUUGGCAUUAAAAUCUGCCAAGAAGUCCCCCCACACUAUCAAUCUCUGCUCCCUUUUAGCCAGCACACUCCUCCACUACAAGUGUGCAUCACCAGCCAAAUAGUGAGUCGCUAGGUCCACCCGGUACGCCUCUGGGCACCUCAUCGACUGGAAGUACCGCUCCAAUCGCAUCCGCUACUCAUCCGCUACAGCUGGGUCAGAACCCCCAAAGAACAAAGACAUCCCGAACCGAUGCAGCUGCUCCAGCAUCCGCAGGUAGUACGGCUGCUCGACCACCGCACCUACCCCUUCAGGCUGUACAACCCCAACAACAGGCUGCACACCAGGCCCAACGGGCUGCACCUCAGGCCCAACAGGAGCCUACAACUCAGGCCCAACAGGAGCCUACACCUCAGGCUCAACAGGAGCCUGCACUGGCGGUACCGCAUCCGGUAACCACUCCAAGAGCUGGAUCAGCAAAUCCGCAAGCCGAUCAUUCUGACCCUGGGCUCCACCUGUUGGAACACCCCCAACCGGGUUUCCAAGAACACUAGUACCGUUCCAGGACAAACCGGCUCCCACGGCACUCACACUCUCACCACCCACGGGCCCUUCCUGAUGCGACUGGGACUCACUUAGAAAAUCGGCCGUAGCAUUCCGACCCACACUCGUGUCGCUACCCGAGGCAACACUACGCUCCCUACUGCGACCACGCCCACGACCACGACCACGACCGACAGCUCCACCUCUAACCAUCUGCAACACAACAGAAGGCUAAGAACACCAAACAAAUCACCAAACCACACAACUUACCGUGGAAUCUCAUUGAAGGCUCGAGAGGAUGAUCUAGGUCUCCAUGCUCACACAAUUGAUUAAACACACAAUCAAUCAGCAUGCAAUCCACAUCAUCAUUCCUCAUCAAUAAAAUUCACACAUCACAUCACAAUUUUUUACCAAUUAAAUCUCGUCCUAGAACCGUAAAUGCUCUGAUACCAAAUUGAAAAGACCCGACAUGUUUUUUUAAUUCAUUAAUUAAUAGUCUCAUACCUACUAAUUAACCUAACCGAAUUAACCCAACAAUAAAUCAUCAUGCACAGCGGAAACAUAUUAAACCAACAUCAAUUAAUCAUAAUAUUAAUUAAUCAAUCAUUCAAUAACUACAAUUUACACCAGCAACAUAGCAUGCCUCUAAACCAGGUUCCAACAACAAUUAACAUAUUCAUAAGCAUAACAACCGAGACCCUAGAUCAUCCUCCUCUCCUUGCCAUCAUUCCACGGAUCACAAUUUACCUGCACCACAAACACAAUGAGAUGCGUGAGUAUUAUCACAAAUACUCAGUGAGAGCGAUCCUCCCAUCUACGAGCUAUACACACAAGCUAUGAGAUAACACCCACAUAUAUAACAUAAACAAACCAUUCAGCAAGCUAAACAUCCAAUAACACUUCCAAUUCACCUACAAAU